rnacentral:rRNA from 1 species
AGAUUGAACGCUGGCGGCGUGCUUAACACAUGCAAGUCGAGCGGUAACGCGGGAGCAAUCCUGGCGACGAGCGGCGAACGGGUGAGUAAUGCUUGGGAAUCUGCCCAUUAGUGGGGAACAACCAGCCGAAAGGUUGGCUAAUACCGCAUACGCCCUACGGGGGAAAGCGGGGGAUCGAAAGACCUCGCGCUAAUGGAUGAGCCCAAGUCGGAUUAGCUUGUUGGUAGGGUAACGGCCUACCAAGGCGACAAUCCGUAGCUGGUCUGAGAGGACGACCAGCCACACUGGGACUGAGACACGGCCCAGACUCCUACGGGAGGCAGCAGUGGGGAAUAUUGGACAAUGGGGGCAACCCUGAUCCAGCGACGCCGCGUGUGUGAAGAAGGCCUGCGGGUUGUAAAGCACUUUUAGUGGGGAUGAAAAGCUCAGGGUUAACACCUCUGGGUCUUGACCUAACCACAGAAAAGCACCGGCUAACUCUGCGCCAGCAGCCGC